ACGGACGAAUUUGGGCUUUCUUUAUCAGAUUAAUCGAAAUUUUUGUCACGCAGCGUAACGCAUUGCGUGGGCUAUAUAAGAGCUACAAAACCCCUUAUCGAGACAUCUUAGUUUCGUUCGUUGAGACAGGAAGUGGUUGACCAUGAAGCAGAUUGUGCUACUGUUGGUGGCUGUUUUGACAGUGGCGGCGUAUGGAGCAAGUCUUCCGACGAUCGAUUGGAGCAGAGUGAAGCGGGUGGAGGAGCUAGACCACUAUUGGGCCCGUUUGCCUCCCGAGCUGCAGGUGUAUCGGAAUGUUUCUCGACCGGGUGGUCGCAUCACCAACGGACUGGAGGCACGUCCCGGACAGUUCCCUUACCAAGCGAUAGUGUUGAGCGAAUUCGGCAUGCUAACAACCAUGUGCGGUGGUUCCGUGUUGACGCAAAACUUUAUCCUCACUUCGGCGCACUGUGUAAUGUUCGAUAAAGUGAACAUGGCCGGAGGUGGAACCGUCAUCGUCGGUGCACACAACCGACUGGAGGUAGAACCUUCGCAGCAACAGAUACGGUUCGGUAACAGUGGCAUCAUCGUUCAUCCAUCGUAUACCGUCAGCAACUAUCGCUUCGAUCUGGCAGUUAUUCAUCUGAACACAGCUCUCCGAUUUACGAACUACGUCCAACCGGUACGUCUUCCCGGCCUGACCGAGCAGCGGCAGUUCGAUGGACUAAUUGGCACGAUCUCCGGGUUCGGACGGACAAGCGAUACGAACUCCGGAUUUGCCACCAUCCUGCAGUACACGGUCAAUACGAUCAUGAGCAAUAGUGCGUGUAUCAGCCGGUGGGGAGCAUUGCUGAUAGAGCCGCAAAAUGUGUGUCUUUCCGGGGAUGGGGGCCGCUCGGCAUGUACCGGUGACUCGGGAGGUCCAUUGACGAUUCAGGAAUCGGGUUUAACGUUUCAGGUCGGUGUAACGUCGUUUGGGUCGGCCGAUGGGUGCACGCGCGGUAUGCCAACGGUUUAUGCGCGGAUUACCUUCUUUAUGGAUUGGAUUAGAGCCAACUCGGACUACGUUGAUAGUUGAGCCGGUGUAGUGUGAGCUUUGCACCGGGUGCGAUUGUGUGAUAACGUUAUGAAAUUGUGUUCCUUAGACAGUGGUCUAUGUAGGUUAGAGAAAUUACGAGUUCCUAAAGUAUAGUUGAGGUUUAAGACGGUUUGUCAGCAGUAUUUUACCUUUUUUGUCUCAAACAAAUGUAAUUCAUAUAACAAAGUAUUUUGAUUAUUUAAGCUAGUUUUUAAUAUCGUCCAGCAAGACUGUGUGGUCUUUGGAGCAUGGACCUUUAGCAGCUCGUUGUAUUGAAAAUAAAAAAAAACAAAUUCAUAUCAAACUUACACACCGUUUCGGUAACACGCUCUAUUUCAGGUGCGCAAGCACCGAUAGCGGCACCUCGCCGGCAGCUCAUCAAACUUCGGGACAUACUCGAACCCGUCAACGCGUCAAUGCCAAAACGCGUCUUCAUAAAUUCGUACCAAGGGCACGGCACAAAUAAACCUGCGGCGGGCACCAAGCCUAAUCCCAUCGAAACACGUUCGGCCAGCGAACGGGGGACAUAAUUCUCGCGGUGAUCUUCUACACCUUGCACUCGUCGUACCAAAGCGGCAGUUCGCAGCUAUUACUAUUUUUAACGUCAUACUCAAUCUUUCCAAAGCAAAAGUGUUUGCUGCGUAUGGACACGGGACGGACAUUGAUUGUUCACCGUCGUCGUCGUCACUCAUCCAUGUGACGGAAGCAUUCGGAAGGGAAGUCUUCCCUCUUAGCUAGAAUAGGUUAAUCAUCCCGUACGGUUAGUCACACACCGCUAGGGCGUUUCAAUUGAAAGUACACAAUCAUGACGAAGCGUUUUAAUUAUAAAGCCCAACCGUCGGAGCUGUGUUAUCUGAUAAAUAAGCACAAAUAAUGGUGCAUUAUUGUUGUUAAUCACUCUCUUUCUUUCGAAUAUUUAUCUCCAAACAAAAUCAUCCAUUCUGUCCGACGACGGGAUAUGUUUCUCUUUAUGUCAUUCCUUCCCGAUGUCACGCUGUACGCUUACCGUGUGGGACAUGAAUGCGUUUCCCAGCACACACACACACAUACACACACACGGACACUCUCUCUCUCGCUCCCUAAAGAAACACAUAUGUCAGUGACAUUUCCACACUCAACACACAUGGAUGCGUAUGCGCACUGGUAGGCCAAGGAGCUUGCGCAAGUGCGCUCACCAGCAAGCGGUCGGAACCCCCUCGAAUAAAAAAAAAACCCCAUCCCGAGCGAAGGGCCCAGCACGGACGGAGAGUCAUUAAAACAGUCCCCACGUUAACCGGGCGCCUUCAGUCAGAAGUCAGGACUUGAACAGGAAUCGUGCGCCCGCAACAGGAACCGUUCCACGUGUACGACAGAUUGUUUUAAAUCCAGUGAGAAGAAGGCCAAUAUUGGAGGUGAUCUUAGUGUAGCUCUUGCAAACGUUUGCAUAUACCUUAGGUAAACUAACUAACUAAA